rnacentral:rRNA from 1 species
AGUAGGGAAUAUUAGUAAUGGGCGAAAGCCUGAACUAGCAACGCCGCGUGUGCGAAGAAGGCCUUCGGGUUGUAAAGCACUUUUUGAGAGGAUGAGGAAGGACGGUACUCUCAGAAUAAGUCUCGGCUAACUACGUGCCAGCAGCCGCGGUAACACGUAGGAGGCGAACGUUAUCCGGAUUUACUGGGCGUAAAACGCGUGUAGGUGGUUUGGUAAGUAGGGCGUGAAAGCUCCUGGCUCAACUGGGAGAGGCCGUUCUAAACUGCCGAACUAGAGGAUGGUAGAGGGAGGUGGAAUUCCGGGUGUAGCGGUGGAAUGCGCAGAUAUCCGGAGGAACACCAGUGGCGAAAGCGGCCUCCUGGACCAUUCCUGACACUCAGACGCGAAAGCUAGGGUAGCAAACGGGAUUAGAGACCCCGGUAGUCCUAGCCCUAAACGAUGUAGACUAGGCGUCGGUGGUUUAAACGCCAUCGGUGUCCAAGCUAACGCGAUAAGUCUACCGCCUGGGGACUACGGCCGCAAGGUUAAAACUCAAAGGAAUUGACGGGUCCCCGCACAAGCAGCGGAGCGUGUGGUUUAAUUCGUUGCUACACGAAGAACCUUACCUGGGUUUGACAUAGCAGUGGUAGGGAAGCGAAAGCAGACCGACCCUUCGGGGAGCUGUUACAGGUGUUGCAUGGCUGUCGUCAGCUCGUGUCGUGAGAUGUUCGGUUAAGUCCGCUAACGAGCGCAACCCUCGCUGUGUGUUACAAGUGUCACACGGUACUGCCGGUAUUAAGUCGGAGGAAGGUGGGGAUGACGUCAAGUCAGCAUGACCUUUAUAUCCAGGGCUACACACACGCUACAAUGGUCAGUACAAUAGGUUGCCAAGCCGCGAGGCGGAACCAAUCCUAAAAAGCUGGCCUCAGUUCAGAUUGCAGUCUGCAACUCGACUGCAUGAAGUUGGAGUUGCUAGUAACCGCAGGUCAGCUAUACUGCGGUGAAUACGUUCCCGGGGAUUGUACACACCGCCCGUCAAGUCAUGGGAGCUGGCAACACCUGAAGCCGGUAUCCUAACCCGCAAGGGAGGGAGCUGUCAAAGGUGGGGUCGGUGACUGGGACU